UUUAACACACCAUAAAAAAGAAACAAGGCUAAAAGAGAGUACAAAACUUGCAACAAAGACCAAGAUUAUCCAAAAGCAUAUUAAACAUCAAAAAAACAUACAUAAAAACAAACAUGUCUCCCAUUUGCACAAGAAGCAUAAAAAUACUAAAGUAAAGACAUGGGAAGGAAAUCAUUCUUGGGGAGGAGAAGGAGGGGGAUGGUACUGUGAACACCUACUCCCGACACUCUGGAAGAGUCGGACACU
rnacentral:lncRNA from 1 species